GUGAAUCCCUUGGCUCAACCAAGGAAGGGCAUUUGAAACUGUCUGGCUUGAGUACGGGAGGGGGAAGUGGAAUUCCCGGUGUAGAGGUGAAAUUCGUAGAUAUCGGGAGGAACACCGGUGGCGAAGGCGGCUUCCUGGACCGAUACUGACGCUGAGACGCGAAAGCGUGGGGAGCAAACAGGAUUAGAUACCCUGGUAGUCCACGCCGUAAACGUUGGGCACUUGGUGUUGCGGGUAUUGACCCCUGCAGUGCCAAGGGCGAAUUCCACAGUGGAU
rnacentral:rRNA from 1 species